rnacentral:sRNA from 1 species
UGACUUCCGGCCAGAUGUGGAACCAUAUCCGUGGACCUCCAUAUGCUCAUAAGAACCCACACAAUGGACAAGUGUUUAACCAUUCUGGAACAUUGUGUUCAGAGCCAGAAAAAUUAAUAGAUUUUAUUCACAUCUAUGUCUACGGCUUCCUUGACAACUACUGCAGACGCCGCUAUCACCAUGGGGAUGGUUCUUCUCAAUGAAGCAGCAACUUCGAAAGGCGAUGUUGGAAAAAGACGGACUUUUUAAUUAAAUGAAGCCAAGUGGGAUUUGCAUAAAGUGAAUGUUUACCAUGAAGAUAAACUGUUCCUGACUUUAUACUAUUUUGAAUUCAUUCAUUUGAUUGUGAUCAGCUAGGUUAUUCUAGUGUAGUUUUUUUAAACUGUGGGUUUUCCUAGUAAAUUUAAUUUAUAGAAGUCAAUGGUAGCAUUUAGUAAUCUACAAAGGAAAUAUCAAA